GCGUUGGUGGUUUAGUGGUAAAAUUGAUCGUUGCCAUUCUCACCCUCCCUCCAAAGGUCGAAAAAUGACUCGAUCAGCCCCGGGUUCGAUUCCCGGCCGACGCA